rnacentral:rRNA from 1 species
AUGCUCCGCUCUCCCGGCCACUCCCCUCGCCAGCUCACCCCGUCGCCCUCCCCCGCCUCGUCCACCCCUCGCCCCGCCUCCCCCACCCCGUCCUCCGCCUCCGCCUCGGCGUCCACCCUCGCCACCACCUCCUCCAAGCGACGCCGCCCGGAGGUGCUCGACGAGGACAGCUACGUCGUCGCCAUCGAGCGCAUCAUCGAGCGCGACUUCUUCCCCGACCUCCCGCGCCUCCGCGACCGCCUCGACUGGCUCCAGGCCGUGCGCUCCCGGGACCCGCUCCUCCUCCGCGACGCCCAGCUCAAGAUCCUCGACCGCCGCCGCCGUCUCCAGCGCAACGGGCCCCUCCCCACCCCGACGCCCGCCACCUCCACCGCGCUCCGCUCACCGUCCUUCCUCGCGACCCCUGCCGUCGCCCCCUCCACCGCAGGCGACCCCGAGGAGGACGAGGACGUCUCUGCCGCGCUCUCGCUUGACGACUUCUUCCGCCGCUACACCAGUGAGGACAACGAGUCCUUCUCGCGCAUCCUCGAGAAGGUCAACCACCGCCGCCGCGAGCGCUAUGCCCACCUCCUGGAGCCUGGCGAGGUGGCGGAUAAACAGUUGUUGGAGGAUGCUAAGCGCGACAGAAUAACUGAUGGUUAUGGUACAUCUGGGCAGCCACCAAGCACGUUGGAGGGUGCCAAGUUUACGGCCAAGAACCUUCUCAUGUACCACCCGGCCGACCGAGGGGAAGCGCCGCUCACUGAUGAGGAGCUUGCCGUGCGGCUAAAGGGGCUCACCAAGGAGAUCGACAAGUCAAACACCAGGUUACAUGGGAAGGCUCUUGCUGAAGACGGGAGACCCAAAGAGGAGGAGGCAGCCGCCAUACUGUAUGCUCUAGUUGCAGGAUCCACUCCUGGAGGAAUGGCGUACAAUGAUCCCGACAAAGGAAAGAAGUAUGAUUUGGAGGAUCUAAGGAAGACACCAAACCCGUUUUACAUUGAAUCAGGGAAGAAAGCAGACAAUGGGUACAGUUUUGUGAAGACACCAUCGCCAGCACCUGGUGUGGACGAGUCUCCGUUCAUGACAUGGGGUGAGAUUGAUGGAACACCACUGAGGUUGGAUCCUGACGAGACACCAGGGGGUAGUGAGAGGUCACAUUUCAAGAUCCCACCUCCACCUGUACGAGAUGUGAAGGCACACCUGCUGUCCAGGGAUGCUGCGAAGAAGAUAAAGGCACGGACACAUAUGUUUCACAAGCCACCACUGCCAUCGCCUGUGAGAGGAGGCAGUGCAAGCCCCAGGAAUCUGUCUCCUGCAGCACAGAAGUUUGUGAGGAAUGCCAUUGCAAAAUCCACACGAACCAUUGAUGAGUCUCUCCGUGCAAGUUACAGAGGGUCGACCCCAUCUGCAGGCACCCCGAAGACAAGGUUUUCAACGGACCCAGGCUUGGGAUCACGGUCUCCUUCGGCGAGAAAGGGUUCCACCCCUCCGUGGUGA